rnacentral:sRNA from 1 species
GCCAGGCAUGGUGGCACAUGCCUGUAAUCCCAGCGGCUUGGGAGGCUGAGGCAGGAGGAUCGUGAGUUCAAAGCCAGCCUCAGCAACUCAGCGAGACCCUAAGCAACUUAGUGAGACUUUGUCUCUA